GAGAGAGAGAGAGAGAGUGAAAGAGGUAUAAACGGCAUGCGGUGCACGAAAUUGAAUUUAGUCCGCGGCAGAGACACAGACGCGAUGGCGGCAUGCGUGCUAGUCUCAAAUUUAUAGUCGCGUUUAUAAUUACGAAUUAACAUUAUAAUAACACAUUGUGAACUCGUUUCGACGAGCGUUUGCAUUUAAUUGUCUCUCGUGUGUAUUUUUGUCGAUUUUUUAUCAGAAUGAUUUCAUCAAUAUGUUCGUAUUUUGAAUGUGGAAAUUCACAAGAAUUGAAAAAGGAUAUUUUGUGAAAAAAAGACUAAUGCGUUCGAAACAAAAAGAAAAAGAAGGUGCAUUGGCACACGCUGUAAUUCGAAAUAUACUAUGUAGACAUGAUAGUGACGAAUUUCUUGACUAACUCGAACAAGAUCGAGAAACGAAAAGAAACGGAAGAAAAAGACACCCGGUAGAUAGAUAUGUGGCAGAACGUCUCGACACGAAAGAAAAAGAUAGGAACUGGAGGAGCCGUUACUCAAAUGGAAUGCCAAUUCGCUAGCGUGGAGGCACAUGGCGCGCCUGCCGACAAAAGACAUUCUUUUCUCCUCGUUCACGAUUGAAUAUGCGAUUCCCCCUCCUCUCAAUCUCUUCGUACCUUCCUAACCGAAGCCAUCUACCGUUGUCUCUUUCCCUUUAACUUCUUUCUUUCUUCUAUCCGAUGAGAACUCCGUUGGAAUAUCGCACCGUAUCUCUGAAGGUUUCUUCGUUGUAGCAGCAAAAACGAAGAAAGGGUAAGAGACUUUAUAUCUGUCGUUCUAACGUCGAAACUAAAUCCGAUAAACGUUCAAGGAUUUAAGGGUACUCUUCAUAGUCCUGGCAGAUAUCAGGGAAUCUCUAGGGAUGACAGAAACCGAAGGGCAAACAUCUACUCUUAUUUGCUGCUGAAGUUCGCCGUGGAAACGCCUCAAGUUCUUACCAAAAGAAAAACAUCGGGGAAAGUUUUGUUCUUGUCGUAUAUCCAUCUACCUACUUAUAUGUAAUGCGUGCACCCACACGUCGUACUCUUUGUUGAUUCCACAGAUAUGGGAGAGGAGAAGAGAGUGAAGUGGACAGAAGACGUUUUGACACUGUGGAAGGAGUAACUCUGCAAACAGUAUACGCGGAGACACUUUCAUGGCGGUGCACUUAAGGGCUUCUCGGAGUUAUGCUGGGCGCAGUUUUGCUUGCUAUGGGUUGAAGACCCGAGAAUAGGGCCAAGAGAAAGGGAACGAUGAAAGAGAAAGAGAGAGAGAGAGAGAGAGAGAGAACACGGGAGAGAGAAGAGAGAUCGCUGCUUGGAGUUAAGCAAGGAAAUAUUUCGAGUCACUUUCACGGAAACGGCUACAAGGAAUUCACAACAUUUAUUGUAACACAAGUAUGGAUGGUUCCACUUUCUGAAAAAGCGAUGCUUAGAGAAAUAGCGAGGAACGCUGGCCUUCUCCGCUUCGGCACGACGGUUCUAGACUUCUCAUGGAUGAGAUUGCUUGCUUGGAGGAGGAGAAUGAAGAAGAGAACAAGAAGAAGAGAGGAUGAGAGUGUAGACGGCACGAGAACAAGGGGUGGCAGCGUUAGAUGGAGCAACGCAAGCUUCCGAGUGCACGUUGUAUUGUGCCUCGAGUAUUAUGCUCUCUCCUUCUUUCUCUCUCUCUCUCUCUCUCUCUCUCUCUCUCUCUCUCUCUCUCUCGCGCGCGCGCACACAUACACGCACACACAUACACGCAUAUACACCAUCAAGUUUUUCACGAGUCGGAGUUAAUUAAUGCGAAAGAACUUGGUUUUAAUGGAAUAUCCUAUCGCAUUGAGAGCCGAUAUGUUUCCAACCUCGAAGAAUGAAACUUCGUAGGUAACUGAAAUUACAGCCGAAAUAGCGGCUAUUUUUCCGUUAAAAUAUCGCAUGAAACGGAAGGGCAAAUUCGUUAGAAUAUAUUCAAGAGCUUCUACGAGAAAAUAGGAAAUUAAGGAAGUUCCGAGAGCAUUACUUUCUCAUUUUCUUUUUCUUUUUUGUUAGACAAACAGAAAGAAAGAGAGAGAUUUUCAUAGAAAAUUGAAUGAAUUUUACAAACUUAUUAUCGGUCGGGAAGAUAUAAUUUCACGGUUCACGUGAGGGAAGAUCUAACGAAUAACGUACAUGUAAAGUUAUAUGUAUUUCCAUGAGACGCUUCUAGCGUUUCGAACGAUUCUUUUUCAUUAGUAUAAUGUUACAUAAAUUAAACGAGAAAGCUCGUGCCGACAGAGUAGGAACAAAUUUUUCUUCUCUAGCGGCGCGUGAAGAAUAAUAUGUUAAUCUAAUAUUUCAUAAUAUGAAAACGAAGAGAGAAAGAAGAGAAAGAGAGAUGAAAGAAAAAGAAAAAGAAGAGAAAGAGAGAUGGAAGAAAAAGAGAAAGAAGAGAGAGACAGAGACAGAGAGAGAGA